AAUAGCCAGUCGCGCCAGCCGCUAGCUCGGGCUCUGCGCAUACGCUUGCUGCAGAGGGCGCUGGCGGGGCGGUUGGCUCCCGUGUGCGCAUGUGCGGGAUGCCGUCAGCCGGGGACCUGGAGGCGCGGUGCUGGAGCCUGUGAGGGGAUGGCGCUGGGUUUUUCUACCGUUUUGCUGGUGCGGAGGGUGGCCUGGGUGCGAUUUCCUCCCUUAACCAGGUUGUGAGGAGGAAGCAGGCGAGGUUAAAGGGAAGAAAUCGGUAUGGUUGAAAACUCUCCAGCCCCAUUGCCGGAAAGGGCAAUAUAUGGAUUUGCUCUUUUCUUGGGAUCGUGGUUUGGUUUUAUGUUGUAUCUUAUCUGGGCAUAUGUUCCUGAGACUUGGCUAUUCUCGUUGGGACUAACAUACUGGCCUCAAAAAUACUGGGCAGUUGCUUUGCCAGUCUACCUGCUAGUUGCUAUAGGAAUCGGUUAUAUAUUGCUGUUUGGUAUUAACAUGAUGAGUACCGCUCCACUUAACUCCACAUAUACUGUUACAGAUAGCUAUGCAAAAAAGCAGCAACAGAAGAAAUUUCAGGAAGAAGCAAUUCCAGCUUUGAGGGAUAUUCCUAUCAGUGAAGUAAACAGAAUGUUCUUCCUUCCUGAAAAAGGAAUCUGUGAUAGCAGGUAGUUGACAUUAAGGGGUCACAAACAGUUACUUUCAGCAGUCAAGAUUGUUUGGUUUGGUUAUAAAGACCAGUGAAGAGAGCCCCAUGUUCUGACUAUUAGCAGGUUCUGUUCAGCCUGGACAUCUUUCCUUGUGCAGUGAUAAAAAUCUAGGUAGUGUAGUGAAUAAUUAACCUGGAGUACUAAGAAGAGAAUACUCCAGAGAGAAACUGAUACUUCUUCUGAGAAGGUAAAUGUCAUUUUUUCUAUAUCAAGUGAUAAGAUGAACUCACCUCACUGGAUGUUGAAACCCCAGACCUCCUUUUGAUCUAAAAUUUAUUAGCUGACCAUCCAGUUCUGACUGUAAAGAGACAUAUUUAUUAUUUAGAGUAGGCUAGAAUUAAAGGUUUCACUUCUUAAAAAACUUUGUAUGUGACUGUAAAUUUGUAUGGGAAUGUUGCUUUGAUUGCUGUGCUGUUGUUUGACCAAGUGACACAGUGUACCUCUGAACAGUUGCACAUUUGAAAAAGCAUUUGAACUGGUACAUUUUAUGAGCUGUAAAGCCAUGAAGAUAUACAUCUUGUUUAAGUAACAACUGGUGAGGUGAUAUUAGCACCAAAUGGAAAUUCAGUGAUUGGAAGAAAAAAGGAUUUUCAAUUAUUUAAAAAAUGACAGAGAAGUUAGGAUUUUAUAAAAUGCCUCUUUAACUGCUCUAGCCCAUAGCUUGAAAUAGGAAUGUUCAGGUCAUCAAGAUGAAUUGCAAUCAAAGAUCACAGAAACAUGUUCAAACAGUAAAAUCAAGAGACAAGUGACAUCUCAUAUUUCUAUGCAAACAGUGAUUAAAAAAGGACACAUUUUUGAUACAACAGAUUAGGUAGCAAAAAUACAUUUUACAUAUUAAAUUUAGCACAUAAUAAAUUCCUACCAGUUAAGGUCGCAAAACCCAGUAAUUUGCAAAUGUUACCAUGACUAAGUCCUGUUAGGAUUAUACACCUGGAAUGUAAACCUGAAAGCAUCUCUCAAAAAUCACUGAGGCCUAUCACUUCUCCUUGCAGCAUGAAUUCUCCUCCGUUUCUUAAACCAAGAAGGCUUUGUAUUCCCUGUUGCUAUAAACCUGAUGUUGCAUGAAAGAGGAAGAUGUAGCUCCUCCACACUAGAACUUCUAGUGAACAGAAUGUAGAUAUUGUCCAUUCUGCAAGAAACAGACAAUGAUGACUUUUUCCACUGUCAGAGCAAUUUACCUUUCUGAGGAAGUGGGCUUCAGCAUGGAUUUUUUUGGGCCUCAAAAGCCCCUUAGGCUACAGACUGUGCAAGAAGUCCUGUCAAAUUCUGUCUGUUCCUUCUGUGUUGGUCUGUUUCUCUCACAGCAACCUUUUGAGCUGGUUGAAUAAAAUUUUCUGCAAAACUACCUUAGUAAUCAAUCAACACUUCUUGAUUUUGGAAGCCUAAGUUUCUUCAAAUUAGCACUGUAAGCAUGUAGUCUGUCAGAGGGAGCAUAAAAUGCCCCUUAUUCUUAGAAAAGCGUGGAAUGCUGCUGGGAAGGAUAUUCUGCAUGCUUUCCCAAGGUGCCUGUCUGUAGGACUAUGUCACUCCCUCAGCUCUGUACCAUUACAGCCUCCACUAUCAGGAGAUAAAAAGGUGUUACAUGUUUUAGAACAUAGUAGAAAUUGUCAGCCUUUGAAGAUUUGAACUAAGCAGAGUUGUUGUCUUAAACUGCCUUGCCUUUGGUUAAAAAGCUGCAGAUGUAACUGUGGAUCAGAUGCUGCGAAAACUUAAUACAGGUGCUUAAAACUUAAGUAUGGGAGUAGCAUAGUCCAGAACAUUGUUUUAAAGUUUGCAGCAUUGGCACCUAUGCUGAAUGUGCUUCAAUCUCUCUUAAUUUUGUUUUUCGAGUCUAACUAAUCCUCCUAUGUAAGUAAAAUAAAUAAUCACAAUUCCUUUCAAAGGCAAUUGACAGUUGGCACUACUUCAAAAACCUAUUCUGUGUUGAUAUCCAACUCGUUUAGCUACACUAACUUCCCUCCCAAAAAGACAAUCAAUAAAAUUUGGCACCUGAAAGUAUGGGUUUUUAAUUAUCACACACAGACUAAGCAUGGGCAUUUCAAACUGAGCAUGUACUUGUGUUUAUAAUUAAGCAAAUAUAAAAUGCUGUUAAGGGUUGUUUUGAGUAAGCAGCCCUUUAAGAACUGGUAACAAAUCUGUAUCUGAGGAGAAUUAGAGAUACUCUUAACCUGUAAUUUGAACCAUAUUUUCCAACACUGAAGAAAUGCUUGAAAGAACAAAUGAACAGAUUACUAAAUUCAAUUUUUGCAUCUGUUUUCUAUAAGGAUUAUUUUCUCCAGAACGUAGUCUCACCAGUUGUUGAUUUUCUCUCAUCUUGCCAUCUCUUGCUGUAAGCAUCCAGGGCCUCCAUAAAGCAGGGCUGCUGAAAGAUUAAGAUAAAGCAGUGCUCUCACAAUUAAUUCUUUGUGGUAGUACCCAUACAGUAUACCUCCUUUUGUUAGAUUCUGCUGGCAUCCUUUGAAAUAAGAUUUUUUUUUUUCUUUUCAACAGAUUUUGAUUUGGUAAAUCUGAUUUCUGUACCAGUAUUAAUCUGUCUCUGUCUACAAUCUGAUUAAACAAACUUGACAAUUCCUUUUAUAUUUUUAA